UUCUUUUUUGUUAAAGUAUUCCCUCUUAUUCUCUCGUUGACUGCUCCAUCACCACAUACUUCGUCUUAUUCUUCUUCUGCUAUGGCACAACAACAUCAUUGCAGCAUCCCAAAUUUCGUGCUGCAGCUUCCUCUUCUCCCUUUGAACCUCUCUCCCUUGUCUAUUCAAGCUCUCCCUCGUCGGUUUUCCUCUCAAAAAAUCGUCAGCAACAAUGGAGGGACUGAUGUUUUCGUUGGUUUCAUUACUUUUUUCUCUCUCUUUUUAGUUUUUAUAUGUGGAAAGGAGAAGACAACACCCUUUUCUUUCUUUCUCUCUCUAUCUCUCUCUAAAAGACCCACUUACACAGUCCAUUCUCUUCACCUAUCCACUCAUUUUCUUCACCCAUCUACCCAUCACUCGAUAUUCACAACUGCAGCCCCACCCUUCGAACAUCAUACGCCGGCCUACCUCCAGAGGUGUUCUUUUCUGCGUGCAACCCUGGGAUUCGAGGAACUGUGCGUGCAUCACAUCCUUUAGUACUCACAGCUCUAUGGAGUUUAAAUUAUGAGCUUCUAUCAGAGGCAUCUGUAAACGAUAUUACUUUUGAACAUGCCCCAAGCUUUUAGUUGCUCGUUGUAGUAAACUUAAAGCUACAUUACAACAUCUAAAUCUGUGUUUCUAUUUCCUGAACUAAUUCUGUUGAGAAAAUCAAGUAGCCGAUUAUAAUGUUUGCACUCGUAUACCCCUUCCAUCACAUUUUUUGAUUGAGAUAUGCGUGUGAUCUUAUAAAAGAUAAAUAAUUAGCAAGCUUGUGUAUUAGGAAUGCUUUUCAAGACUUUUGCAUGUAUUAUUACUAAUUUCUCUUUGGUUAUUUAAAAAUUAUUACAAAUUUCUUUUAGAAUAUGAAAUCUCUUAUAUUAAAAUUUUUCAGGAUUUUUCAUUAUUUAUCUGAUGCUUCUUUUCUCCAGUAAAUCUUCCCCUUCUAAAUGCUGAACAAUCUCAACAUUUUAUAUUUUCGAGUCCAUUAAUGAAUCUAUUAUUCUGUUGGUUUGGUCAUGCUUUUUGGCACAUUAUUCUUUAUUUUUUGAAAUCCAUGUUGGAUUGUAUUGUAACUUUUUUGGUGUUCGUUUUUCUUGGAUGGAGAAUUUCUUUUUCCUUUUAUCUUUUCCUUCUUGCUGCAAUGAUAAGUGAAGCGUCAUUUUUCAAGAACCAGUCUACUGGCCAGUAUUAAUGUUGUUGGUUGUUUGGCAACUAAGAGAAGAAGACUAUAACCAGAAGUUAUUGAUGUUUUCCAUUGGCAGAAGGAGGAUCUUGAUCAUCUUUUGUGGGUUGGCACUUGGUAGUUUGUUUAUUCCUCGUGGCGUCAGCUUUUGAGGGUUUGGGGUUUGAAAAUUCAAUGAAACAGUAAUGCCCGUGGGUUUUAAUUUAGUUUGUUUUUAAUUUCUGCAUUCAGGAUGAAGAAGAUGUGAAGACCACUUGCUCGGUUAUUUGAUGACAUGGGAGAUUCAUAUGCUGAAUUGAUUGCUAUUGGUUCUGAUGAAUCGAUGUUGAUAGUCCAUGCUCUACUUGAAGUUACUUCACACCCUAAAUAUGAUAUUGCAUCCACGACCUUUAAUUUUUGGCACAACCUGCAAUUGAACUUGACAAAAAGGUGUUGGAGGUGGUGGCACUGAUGGAGGUGAGGAGUUUCAACAUUAUUUUGAUUUUAUAACUUGUUUGGGGGCAACAAACUAUGUAUUCUAGUGUGGCUGUAAAGGUUAUCAGACUCUACUGAACAUUGACAUGAGGAGAGAGCUUGAUCAUAUGGUGAGUUAUUAUAAAAUCUUCAGCUAGUGAGAAAAGGUAUAUGGAAAUAGUUUUCUUGUGUUUUGUUAUUAGAUUAACCAUUAUUUAUUGUUUCUUCCAUUCGGAAAAGAACUAUAAAGAUUGUUAAGAGGUUAGGAAGGACAUAUAAGAAUCGACAAUGACUUUAUCUUUUUGAGCA